rnacentral:rRNA from 1 species
CGUGCUUAACACAUGCAAGUCGAACGCGAAAGGGACUUCGGUCCUGAGUAAAGUGGCGCACGGGUGAGUAACGCGUAGAUAACCUGUCUUCAUGUCUGGAAUAAUACGCCGAAAGGGGUACUAAUACCGGAUAUUCUUGCUUUUCAUAAGUUAUGCAAGCAAAGGUGGCCUCUGCAUAUGCUACUGCAUGAAGAGGGGUCUGCGUACCAUUAGCUAGUAGGUGGGGUAAUGGCCUACCUAGGCGACGAUGGUUAGCGGGUCUGAGAGGAUGAUCCGCCACACUGGCACUGGAACACGGGCCAGACUCCUACGGGAGGCAGCAGUGAGGAAUAUUGCGCAAUGGGGGAAACCCUGACGCAGCGACGCCGCGUGAGUGAAGGAAGGCCUUCGGGUCGUAAAGCUCUGUCAAGAGGAAAGAAGUGUACAAUGGCUAAUACCUGUUGUAUUUGACGGUACCUCUAAAGGAAGCACCGGCUAACUCCGUGCCAGCCGCUGC